GUGCCAGCAGCCGCGGUAAUACGAACCGUCCAAACGUUAUUCGGAUUCAUUGGGCUUAAAGGGUAUGUAGGCGGCGCUGUCAGUCGGGUGUGAAAGCCCUCGGCUCAACCGAGGAACUGCGCCCGAUACUGCAGCGCUUGAGGGAGACAGAGGUAAGCGGAACUGAUGGUGGAGCGGUGAAAUGCGUUGAUAUCAUCAGGAACACCGGUGGCGAAAGCGGCUUACUGGGUCUCUUCUGACGCUGAGAUACGAAAGCUAGGGGAGCGAAGGGGAUUAGAUACCCCCGUAGUCCUAGCUGUAAACGAUGAGCACUUGACCGUGGGGCCCCCCAUAGCCUCUCGGUCGUAGCGAAAGUGAUAAGUGCUCCGCCUGGGGAGUAUGGUCGCAAGGCUGAA
rnacentral:rRNA from 1 species